UUUUAAAUGUGUCGUUCACUGGAGCAGAUAAGCCGGGGGGUCAUCUCUAAUUUACUGGCUUAUGCUGAGCUACUGUCUUAGAAAAUUCUAAGCCCUACUUCACUUACCCCAUCUAUUAAGCCAUCGUUGCGAUGCUCCAGCCCACCUAGCGACCUAGGAAAAGUCGACAUCAUUUUUUUUACUCAAACCACACGCACAUGUCAUCCUCUACAUAGAACUGUUGCUUUAGUUAAAAAGAAAAACUGCAUCUUCCUCUCCUCUCAGUCGAUCCCCUUUAGUUCUCCUCACCCACAUGCGCCACCGGUUGUGAUUAGCAGCCAGCGAAGUAAGAUCUAGCUAAUGUAUUCCAGGAAUCUAAUUCCUGACCAUCUCUGAUGUCACUUCUCGCUACUGUUUUUAUAAUUUCUCGUCCUCAGGUACUAAAUGCAAGCCCUAAUCAUGGCGACCUAGAAUGGGGCACGCAGCAGAGGCAAACUUGUGUGGCUGGGUCUCAGCUCGACGGAGGAGGGCCAUCAAUGGGAGGGCAGCGUUUAGCCCAAAAUUUGGUUGCCGAAGGGGAGGUUGAUGUACACGUGCUGGAUCUGCGGCACAAUAUAGAGGUUUUCCUUCCAGCUAUUGUCAGGUAUUGGUUGGCGGAGGUAGAUGUGUAGAAGUAGAUCGGGAGCCCCCGCAAAAAAAAAGAGAUUGGGAGAGAAAUACUUAGUAAGAUGAGAAGUGUGUCCGCUGGUAGAAGCGAUUUGCCGGACUAUAUAUUUUUCUUCCUGCAUAGAAACCGACUCUUUACAGGUGUUUUUUCCCAAUUUGGACUAAAAAGUAUAUUAUUUUGAUUUGUUGUUGUCAUAUCUGAGAAAAUAUUACUUGUAUGUAUUAGUAAUAGACAAAGCGAGAAGACUUGCAUCUAGUAUAAGAAGCUUAGUUCAUAUAUAUGUUGUUAAACAAACAAUGGUUGAUCAUUUGCAGGCCAAGCUAAUAACAUUGGAGGUUUUCUUAUGCUUCUCAUGAACUGAAAAUGUUGUAUGAUAUAGAAGUGCUAUUGCCAGAAACAUAUAUUGAAGAAGUUUUUUCCGAAUAAUUGCAAUUUGACAUGCAUUGAAUAGUGCUAACAUUCGGACCCUUACUAUCCAAUAAGUAUCAUCCUUAUCUUGAUCAAUGUCUAGUAUUCUUAGGCUCUUUAUUUGGGGAAAUACAUAUAGUCCAACUUUCACAGGAUAAGCUACUAAUCAACUUAUUUGUGGAUAAGUGUGUUGUCUAAUGGCUGCAUUAACAUUAGGUUUUCUUUGGCCAUAAUGGACAUCUGAAUCUUCAUCUUCGACCCCUAGUAGUUAUUUUUGGUUGAACUGGUUUUUGUUCUCUCGUACAUCUUUUUCUUUUCCUUGUUGCACAUUUGUCUCUGUUCAUUUAUCCCCUGAGCCAUCAGAUAUUGAAAUAGAUCUUGGUAUCCUUCUUUAUCACGCGGAGCUCAUGUGACGUUGAUAUUUUCUUCUUGACGCCCAUCUUCAUUUACUAUUAUCUAGUUUCUAUCCGUAAUUCCAUUGUUUUGUGAUAAUCAUCACAUGGCAUAUAUGAUAAUUUAAUAUUUUCUUGCAGGCGAUCUAUUGUAGGCCUGUAGCUAUGAACACAAAAUCAGAAAAUUUACCCAGAAACUCAAUGUUAGCAUUGUGAUAAAACUAAAACUCAAUGCUAGCAUUGUGAUAAAACUAAGUGACACAAAUAAGUCAAAUGUUACUUCAUUAUAAUUGAUAUGAAUCAAAUAUUCAAAUGUCAUUGCAGGUCUCAAGGGUCAGGUUUUCUUCGAAGAUAUCAUAUCUCAAAAGAACUCGGAUGGAUUACCUGAUUUAGUAGGUUUUCUUGAUUCGUUGUAGUAAGUUCUUGUAAUGCUCUGCUCCAGUAAAACAUUUUUUUUCUAGCAUCCUUGAGUACUUUUAUCUAUUUCGAUCAUUUUAGGUACAAUUUAUUCUGCUGAGUGCCUACAUUAUGGUUUGAGUUAAGAAUAACUAUUAUUUACAUUAGUGAGUUUACAUGAGUCACAAUUCGUCGACAAAUAACAAAAAGAUAGUGUCUCAUACCUGUUAAGAAGUUCCUGAUUCUUGGGUAUGUCUAAACAUUCUUGUGGCAUCUGUUGACUUUAGAUAAAAAAACUGUUAAGUCAACAGUGAAUCUCUCCAACAUUAGCUUUUUUCAUGAAAAGCGGAAGAGCAUGUAUAUUACUGGACUUACCAUUGAAAACCAUUAGGAAGGUCACAAUAAUGAUAGCUAUAUAUAUAAGUAAUCUGGAAUGUAAAUUUGGAGAUUAAUUGUGGUAACCGUCAGAAAGAAUAAUUAGUUGUAAGUUGGUUUCAAUACCUGGGCAUUGUUUAUUUUUCUCCGUUCUCGUAGGAAUUAUCUUUCCGCGUCUCGUAGCGUGUCCUUGGAUAGAAAUUCAAAACAGUAAUCUAGAUAAAAGUUCUGAUGUUUCUUUCACUUUAUUUGACAUCUUACAUGUGAAAAAAUAUUUUCAAUUGCAUUGCUCACCAGGCUAUAUUUUAUGGGUUAAAAUUGCUAAGUUGCAUAUGUAGAUCUCUGACUAAAAAUGCUUUAUAAAUGCCUAGAGAUUCUUCCAGACUGUAGCAUGCAUUGUAUGCCCUGUUAUAACAAUCAAAAUAUAAUUAGAUAGAAUAAUUCUCAGUUAAAUAUGUAAAGAAUAAACAUGUUCAUCAACCAAGAUCAUGUCAAACCUCAUAAGCUCAAAAGUUGUAGAAUUGUGUAUUAGCUUCAAAAGCAACAAAAACAUAGUUGCUGUUUAAGAAAGUACAGUUGAUGAUUUAAUCCAGAAUAAGUUAGUUCACUAAAAAAUAGUUACCUGACUUGAUGAUUCAGGUGAGAAGCAACUGAAAAGGUUGGGGCAUGACUUCAUCCGGCAUCGGCACCAAGUUGCACGUGAAACUUUGGUUUUUCCCGGCUUCGAUCUUUAUCAGGCAUAGUAUUGGCUGACUUUGAUUUUUGUGAUUGUGUUUUGGUCCCGUAGUUUGGGCUGGCUUCUACUUUCUUGGGUGUGUGCCUGGUUUGGCUGGCUAGAUGUGUUUGGUUUUCCAUGGUUGUGGAAUUCUUUAUGUUGUAUCCUACUACAUAAAUCUUAUUUGCAUGCACGCACCUAUCAGUAGUUUGGAAUUGUGUCCACGUGAAGUGAGAUUCCGUUUCCUAAUGUAUUUACAUGUUGGAGUCGUGCUUGCCUCUAACUCUUGGACGGAAAGACGCAUAUAUUUCCUUGUCUUAAACACGUGUCCAGUGUCCAGUCUGUUUGGACGUGAUAAUAGUUGUACUAAAAGUUACGUGUUUUAAAGGAUAGUUUAUUCUUGUACAUGCGUGUGCCUACGUGGUGAUGCAUGACUUUCUAUCCUUGUUUCAUCACAUCCAAAUCACGACAUGUCUUU
rnacentral:lncRNA from 1 species